rnacentral:pre_miRNA from 9 species
UCUCGAUAAAGUAAAAGAUAAGUCAAAUUUGUAUGGAGUUGGAACGUUUGCCUACGUUUGCCGCUACUGUUGCCGCACUGUUCCAGCUGCAUACAAUAUCAGGUAACUUUUACGCUAUCGA